rnacentral:tRNA from 1 species
GCCUGGCUGGCUCAGUCGGAAGAGCAUGUGACUCUUGAUCUCAGGGUUGUGAGUUUGAGCCCCAUGCCGGGUG